UUUUGUAUUGUUGUUUUAGGUGAAACACCUCUCUCCACCUAAUCCCCACUAAUACCGCUCACAUAAAUAAUAAAUCAUAUGUACACAUAAAGCUCUAACAGCUACAGCAGAGCAACACAUCAUAUCACCUGAGCUUCUCUGAAAGGAACAAUGAAUGCCAUACUCAAUAACUGAAUAUACACAUACUAUGUAAGGCAAUGGCUAUUAAUUGAGCCAAUAUCUCUAGAAAUUUAACACCAUAUUUAUUUGAAAUGAGCGUCCCAUAACAUAAGAUCGUUUUGCAAGAUAUUUUAUAGCUUGCAAAACGAUCUUAUAUUAUGGGAUGGAGGAACUAUUACCAUAUACAUUCUCAGCUUUGAGACUCACUAUGAAGGUAUCUAUCAAUAAUUGUGAUAUCAAGUGUAUUCUAUCUACAACCUAACAUCUAAAAGAAGAAAAAUCUAUCAACCAUGUUCACCUCAUGAUAUAACCUAGUAGCAUCAUUGGUGACACAUUCCUCCUUGUAAAGGAGCAAUGUAUACAGCAUACAGUCAAACAAAUAGCAUGCAAAGAUAACAGAGACAAGCGCAUUUUGGCAAAGCAUGGGAAGUGACAACUCUUAACUAUCCAGAGAAAAGAAAAGCAUAAAAACCACACCCACUUGAAUGACACCUAUGCUUAGCAAUGAUUCAAGGCAGAGCAGUCCAAAAUGCAAUAAAAUAUCUGCCAAAUGAAGAUGUCACAAAACUGUAUACAUCAGUAAGGAGUAAAAUAAAACUUGCAGAUCCAUAUAUCAAUUCCACAUGCAUUGACGUUCAGUCUAUCUAAGUAAACCCGCAAUGAGCAUAUGCGUGAGGUAAUGCACAAUAUGCGUUUCAGAAUGCAAGGAUUUUCUUGUCUACGCAGUGGACACUGGUGAGUUACCUCAACAACUGCACUCUUGGUUAUGACAUCAAUGGCAGGGAAAAUCCCACUAUACAAGUAGAAGGCUACGAAAUUUGUAGGCCGGAAUAAAAAUGGGCAUGCAUUCUAAAUAAAGAGGGAAUAUCCUUACUGCAGAAAUUUCUAAGUCUGAGUUGCUAUAAUACACAAGGUCAAGGAGAAUUGUAAGUAGUUUUCAUUAAAAAGAAACUGUAAGUACUGGCUGCUACAAUGCUAAAGAGGCAUGAAUAAAAAAAUUGAGUAGAUUCCAAUUUAAAUUAAACAGAUAUACUGCAACAAGAAAACAAGUGUGCGGAGUAAAGUUCAUCAGCGACUCUGCACAUACUCCCUCCGUUCCUAAAUAGAGUAUAAGACAUUUUUAGAGAUUUCAAUACGGACUACAUUAGCAAAAUGAGUGAAUCGACACUCCAAAAUACAUCUAUAUACAUCCGUAUGUAGUUCAUAUUGAAAUCUCUAAAAAAGCCUUAAAUUUAGAAACAAAAGGAGUAUAUAGCAAAAGAGCUAACAUUCCAUCAUCACAACAAACAAAAUGUUACAGUUGCAUUCAAGAUCAACAGCAACCAACACAGUGCAGAGCACCAGGGACCAGUUUUCCUGAACAACUGCACUCUUGGCGAGUUAUCUCUACAACUGCACUCUUGGUUGCAGGCAAAAUCCCACUAUACAAUACAAGGCAAUGAAAUUUAGUACAAGAUGUUCUAACUUUUACUGAAUCGGAUGUAUAUAAACAUGUUUUAGUGUGUUUAUUCACUCAUUUCAGUCCGUA
rnacentral:lncRNA from 1 species